rnacentral:rRNA from 1 species
CCUACGGGCGGCUGCAGUGAGGAAUAUUGGUCAAUGGGGGCAACUCUGAACCAGCCAAGUCGCGUGAAGGAUGAAGGUCUUAUGGAUUGUAAACUUCUUUUGCAAGGGAAUAAAGUGGGGGACGUGUCCUCCUUUGCAUGUACCUUGCGAAUAAGGAUCGGCUAACUCCGUGCCAGCAGCCGCGGUAAUACGGAGGAUCCGAGCGUUAUCCGGAUUUAUUGGGUUUAAAGGGUGCGCAGGCGGGAUGUUAAGUCGGCGGUGAAAUUUUGCAGCUCAACUGUAAAAGUGCCUUCGAUACUGGCUUUCUUGAGUGUGGAUGAAGUAGGCGGAAUUUGUGGUGUAGCGGUGAAAUGCUUAGAUAUCACGAGGAACUCCGAUUGCGCAGGCAGCUUACUAAACCACUACUGACGCUCAUGCACGAAAGCGUGGGGAUCAAACAGGAUUAGAUACCCCUGUAGUC